GAUGAACGCUGGCGGCGUGCUUAACACAUGCAAGUCGAACGGAAAGUCUCCUGCUUGCAGGGGUACUCGAGUGGCGAACGGGUGCGUAACACUUGGGUGAUCUUCCCUGCACUUCGGGAUAAGCCUUGGAAACUGGUUCUAAUACCGGAUAGGACUAUGGUUUGGAUGCCAUUCUGGAAAGUUUUUCGGUUUGGGUUGAGCUCGCGGCCUAUCAGCUUGUUGGUGGGGUAAGGGCCUACCAAGUCGUCGACAGGUAGCAGGCCUGAGAGGGUGUACGGCCAAAUUGGGACUGAGAUAAGGCCCAGACUAGUACGGGAGGCAGGAGAGGGGAGGAUUGCACAAUGGGAGGAAGCAUGAUGCAGCGAAGCCGCGUGGGGGAUGAGGGCAUUCGGGUAGGAAACUAAUGUCGUUAGGGACGAAGCGAAAGUGACGGUACCGGGAGAAGAAGCACCGGCUAACUACGUG
rnacentral:rRNA from 1 species